rnacentral:rRNA from 1 species
UACAGAGGGGGCUAGCGUUGCUCGGAAUUACUGGGCGUAAAGGGCGCGUAGGCGGCCUGCUAAGUCGAACGUGAAAUCCCUGGGCUCAACCCAGGAACUGCGUCCGAUACUGGAUGGCUUGAAUCCGGGAGAGGGAUGCAGAAUUCCAGGUGUAGCGGUGAAAUGCGUGGAUAUCUGGGAGAUACCGGUGGCGAAGGCGGCUCACUGGCCCGGUACUGACGCUGAGGUGCGAAAGCGUGGGGAGCAAACAGG